rnacentral:rRNA from 1 species
UCAAUCUCGUGUGACUGAACGCCACUUGUCCCUCUAAGAAGUUAGCGCCGACAGAGUGCCAUCGACGAACUAUUUAGCAGGCUAGAGUCUCGUUCGUUAU